rnacentral:rRNA from 1 species
AACGAACGCUGGCGGCAUGCCUAAUACAUGCAAGUCGAACGAGAUCUUCGGAUCUAGUGGCGCACGGGUGCGUAACGCGUGGGAAUCUGCCCUUGGGUUCGGAAUAACUUCGGGAAACUGAAGCUAAUACCGGAUGAUGACGUAAGUCCAAAGAUUUAUCGCCCAAGGAUGAGCCCGCGUAGGAUUAGCUAGUUGAUAAGGUAAAGGCUUACCAAGGCGACGAUCCUUAGCUGGUCUGAGAGGAUGAUCAGCCACACUGGGACUGAGACACGGCCCAGACUCCUACGGGAGGCAGCAGUAGGGAAUAUUGGACAAUGGGGGCAACCUGAUCCAGCAAUGCCGCGUGAGUGAUGAAGGCCUUAGGGUUGUAAAGUUCUUUUACCCGGGAUGAUAAUGACAGUACCGGGAGAAUAAGCCCCGGCUAACUCCGUGCCAGCCGCCGCCGUAA